AGAAAGCCUGCUCAGAGCUGGCCACGUUUGUGCGUGAGGUCCUGGGCCUGUACACCGUCAACGUGACCACAGCCGCCCGCCUGUGCGGCGUCUCCCUGUGCCAGGGGCGUGGCCGCUGCGUGCGCCGCAAACCCGAGAGCUCCGCCUACCUGCACUUGCCGCCCUCCAACUUCGUGAUGACGCAGGGGAAGGUGGAGGGGGUGCAGACCACAGGCCAGCUGGACCCUGGCAACCUGGAGGCAUGGAAGAGGGACUUCCAGUGCCAGUGGUAUGAGUCCCUGGAGGGGGCAGCCGCCGACGAGGAGCUCCCCAAGGACAGGGCACAGGGAGCCCUUCCCCCCACACUGAAUCCCCCCUUGUCGAGUGAGCUGAACCAAGAGACCAGGCCCACCCUCGCUCUGUCAGACCACAGCGGACCAUCACUCACGGCAUCUCUCCUCCCUCUAGUGCUGGUAUUAGCCACAGCUCUAAGCCUGAACACAGACUUAUGCCUGAACCUCUGACCAACCUGCUGAAUGAUCAGGUCGGGGCUCAGGGGGCUUAAGACACUGUCGUACCAGUGUAGAAGAAAUGUUUGUGUGACAGAAACUCUUGAGAGGUGUUUCUAUUUCGAACAAAGAAAUGUCGUGAACAGAGACUACUAUUAUAUUAUGGAGACUGUGGACGUUUUUAUUGUCGAUACAACUAAGAACGUGAACUAGAUCAAACAAAAAAUCUUCUAUUCAUAGGAUUCGUGGUUAACAUUGUCGUCAUUUCUCGUCAACAGCUGUGUGUAUUCAGUUCCUAACAUUGCAGUACUGGAUGUUCCUUUUUACCACUCAUUUUUGUUUAUCGCCACACUUUUCCCCCCUUUUUGUUCUUCACGCUACUCAGCUCUACUGCUUACAUGGCCAUGUUGUGACGGGCUUGUAAUAUGGUUCACAACUUGGUAUCCUCGAACGAUGUAAACACAUUCUACAUGCUACUGCAGUCAUAUCAACUGGAAUGACUUCACCAUUCAACAUUACCUUUGUAUUCUUACGCCUCAUGCUAUUGCGUUUACAAUAAAAUCAUACCUCUAUAAAAAUGUACUCAUAUUUUCUAUAAAAUGUUGUUGAUG
rnacentral:lncRNA from 1 species